rnacentral:rRNA from 1 species
AGUCGAGCGGUAGAGAGAAGCUUGCUUCUCUUGAGAGCGGCGGACGGGUGAGUAAUGCCUAGGAAUCUGCCUGGUAGUGGGGGAUAACGCUCGGAAACGGACGCUAAUACCGCAUACGUCCUACGGGAGAAAGCAGGGGACCUUCGGGCCUUGCGCUAUCAGAUGAGCCUAGGUCGGAUUAGCUAGUUGGUGGGGUAAUGGCUCACCAAGGCGACGAUCCGUAACUGGUCUGAGAGGAUGAUCAGUCACACUGGAACUGAGACACGGUCCAGACUCCUACGGGAGGCAGCAGUGGGGAAUAUUGGACAAUGGGCGAAAGCCUGAUCCAGCCAUGCCGCGUGUGUGAAGAAGGUCUUCGGAUUGUAAAGCACUUUAAGUUGGGAGGAAGGGCAGUAACCUAAUACGUUGCUGUCUUGACGUUACCGACAGAAUAAGCACCGGCUAACUCUGUGCCAGCAGCCGCGGUAAUACAGAGGGUGCAAGCGUUAAUCGGAAUUACUGGGCGUAAAGCGCGCGUAGGUGGUUUGUUAAGUUGGAUGUGAAAUCCCCGGGCUCAACCUGGGAACUGCAUUCAAAACUGACAAGCUAGAGUAUGGUAGAGGGUGGUGGAAUUUCCUGUGUAGCGGUGAAAUGCGUAGAUAUAGGAAGGAACACCAGUGGCGAAGGCGACCACCUGGACUGAUACUGACACUGAGG